rnacentral:rRNA from 1 species
UUCCGCCUAAAGAAAAGCUCGCGGCUGAUUAGCUAGUUGGUAAGGUAAUGGCUUACCAAGGCGGCGAUCAGUAUCUGGUUUGAGAGGACGAUCAGACACACUGGAACUGAGACACGGUCCAGACUCCUACGGGAGGCAGCAGUGGGGAAUUUUCCGCAAUGGGCGAAAGCCUGACGGAGCAAUACCGCGUGAGGGAAGACAGCCUACUGGGUUGUAAACCUCUUUUUUCAGGGAGGAAAAAAAUGACGUGUACCUGAAGAAUAAGCAUCGGCUAACUCCGUGCCAGCAGCCGCGGUAAGACGGAGGAUGCAAGUGUUAUCCGGAAUUACUGGGCGUAAAGCGUCUGUAGGUGGUUUAAUAAGUCAACUGUUAAAUCUUGAGGCUUAACUUCAAAACAGCAGUCGAAACUAUUAGACUAGAGUAUAGUAGGGGUAAAGGGAAUUUUCAGUGGAGCGGUGAAAAUGCCUAGAUAUUGGGAAAGAACACCCGAUGGCGAAAAG